rnacentral:lncRNA from 1 species
UGCCUACUCGUAGCCCUUCCCUGUAUGCAAGCCCAUCAGGAAGAACAUCACUUACAAAUAUGUGUGUGAGAUGCUGAUUUUCAUCAACUUGAGCUGUGACAGCAAAACCAAAAUCUGUUAUAUUUUCAGUCUUUGUAAGAUGAAUGUGAUAAACAUUUAAUGGGCAGAUUUCUAUUUCAUCAUACACCUGGUCUACUAUAUAUUCGUAUGGUUCAGGAGCACAGUAUUCAGUAUUUUCAUCAACCAAUCUUCUGAGUUGUAGACCGUAGUUCCUUGGCUCCAGUUGUUUCAUCUUGCAUGCCAGAGACAGAACAUCUUCC